rnacentral:rRNA from 1 species
AUUGAACGCUGGCGGCAGGCCUAACACAUGCAAGUCGAACGGUAACAGGAAGAAGCUUGCUUCUUUGCUGACGAGUGGCGGACGGGUGAGUCAUGUCUGGGAAACUGCCUGAUGGAGGGGGAUAACUACUGGAAACGGUAGCUAAUACCGCAUAACGUCGCAAGACCAAAGAGGGGGACCUUCGGGCCUCUUGCCAUCGGAUGUGCCCAGAUGGGAUUAGCUAGUAGGUGGGGUAACGGCUCACCUAGGCGACGAUCCCUAGCUGGUCUGAGAGGAUGACCAGCCACACUGGAACUGAGACACGGUCCAGACUCCUACGGGAGGCAGCAGUGGGGAAUAUUGCACAAUGGGCGCAAGCCUGAUGCAGCCAUGCCGCGUGUAUGAAGAAGGCCUUCGGGUUGUAAAGUACUUUCAGCGGGGAGGAAGGGAGUAAAGUUAAUACCUUUGCUCAUUGACGUUACCCGCAGAAGAAGCACCGGCUAACUACGUG